rnacentral:rRNA from 1 species
AGAGUUUGAUCCUGGCUCAGAUUGAACGCUGGCGGCAUGCUUUACACAUGCAAGUCGAACGGCAGCGGGGGCUUCGGCCUGCCGGCGAGUGGCGAACGGGUGAGUAAUGCAUCGGAACGUGCCCAGUCAUGGGGGAUAACUACGCGAAAGCGUAGCUAAUACCGCAUACGCCCUGAGGGGGAAAGCGGGGGAUCGCAAGACCUCGCGUGAUUGGAGCGGCCGAUGUCGGAUUAGCUAGUUGGUGGGGUAAAGGCCUACCAAGGCGACGAUCCGUAGCGGGUCUGAGAGGAUGAUCCGCCACACUGGGACUGAGACACGGCCCAGACUCCUACGGGAGGCAGCAGUGGGGAAUUUUGGACAAUGGGGGCAACCCUGAUCCAGCCAUGCCGCGUGAGUGAAGAAGGCCUUCGGGUUGUAAAGCUCUUUCAGACGGAA